AUUCGAUUGUAGAUGUGACCGUUUCGGCCAAUUGCGAAAAUACGUGUGAAGUAGGGAUAUCAAGUAGUGGGGCAAUAGUGUCCAAUAGGCAUUGCUUUUCUGCUUGUCAUCUUCCUAUGAACGAACAGUGUUUUACUGAGCAUUCGUAACUUUCUUAACUGACUGCUAGAUUGGCAGAAACAACUGUGAUGCAUCGUGGCAGCGAAUACAAGUUGGAACCUGUUUCUAUUAGUAACUACCAGCUAAUUUGUAAUUACCUAGCUGUUUUACCGUUUGAAAUAUUUGGUGCGCAUGGCCGUAACUUGGUGGAUGGUGUGAAACAAAAUUUGCGAGUGAAAUUUUUCUCGUCAUUUUUAAUAAUAACUUGAUCGUGUGAGUAACUAGAUGAUGAGUUUAUUCUUUAGUCAAUUUGCGUUUCAACGCGCUUCUUUACAACUUUAUCGAAACAAUAGCGUUGCUAUGCAGGAAAUGGGAUCGUUUCAUAGCGAUACGGAAGUCACGACGAUAGAUACGUCGUUAACGUUUCUCGUCGGUAGAAAUUCUUUCGAUACGGAAACACGUUAUAAACAAAGAUAAACAAUAAAGCUUGGAAUAAUGACUCAUCAAUAUUUAAUAUUAUCUUUUAUGAUAGUUAUGAGUAACGAAUUUUCGAAGAUGAACAUAUCCCACGGUGAACAAUUACGAUGUCGAUCACAUAAAUUUAUAACAGAAAUACUAGAAAUAGCAAAGUUGCUCGUUAAUGCAACGCGGCGUGGACGUGUUACUGGACAAUGCUAUGAGGAAGACGAGAUCGUUUUGCGAUGAUAAAGAGGAGAGGGAUUGGCUAGGACGAGAAGAUCGACCAUGUGGUUACAUUGUGGAGAAGAAGAGACUGCACGAGAAACAGAGUUCGGAACCACGGUGCACGAACAAGCUUACCGUGAUUUUCACGGUAUCGAUUACGAAUGAUUUACGUUGUCGUUUCUUUCGUACUGACGCGAUAGUGUCCUGCGCACGCGAUCAUACGUAAGUGCUUGCGUUGGUCAGAUUUCGCAGUCAAGAUUAUCGUCAAAAUUAAUGUAUUACCAUUUAACCUCUACGUUGCUUUAUCUUUCGUUUCAACUUUUUCUAUUUCUUUUUUUUCUUUGUUAUUUAAGUUGGUUAUUUAUAUUCGAACUCGUUGUAACUUUUAUCAUCGCCAUUUACCAGUAUUCCAAAUUAGGUUAAAGGGAAUUAUUCUAUUCUAUAUAUAUAUAUAGACACUUGUACUUGUGUGAAAGAUCGUCGAUUCAUUUGUGUAUAACCAAUGAACACGUGAAUCAUGAAUAAACCAAAGAGCACGUAUAAAAAUAUAAAUUCCGGUUCUGGAUUAUCUGUCGAUUAUUCAUAGACAUGUUCGCGCGGAUUAGACAUGAAAUCGUCGAUCGACUACCGUGAAAAUUUCAAAGUACAUUCUACAUGAUCUUUUCUAAAUGAAAGUUGAUGAAAAACUAUCUUCGGUAUCGAUAAAUUAGCGAUAAACGACUUAAUUAUCUUACCUCGAAUCAAAUAUUUUCAAAUAUCAGGCGGCUAUUGGUUAUAUUCUUGUAACCACAACGUCCAUCCAAUUCAUCCAAGCUACCGUUUUUCCGCUCGUGUCUCCAGGAAUAGCGGCUAGGAAACAAGAACAAAAGCCAUAGUCCCGUACAUUGUUCAUUUUAUUUAUGAGCCACGGUUUAUUCGUAUCAAAUCGUUCCGGUUCGUUAAACAGAUCCUUAUUCCACUGUUAUCGAUCUCAAAGAGAGUUGGAUGCGAGUCGGUCGUGUAUAUCUCUCUCUUUCUCGGCUUCUCGUUUCGUGGACAAAAAUCCAAGGAGCACCAGCAUCCACCCGUCGGUGUGCAUCCUUGCCGUGGUUCACCGACCCGCAUAUUUCUCCUCCUUCUCCUCUUCCCCACCCCUUGUCACACUCGCUCCUUCCCUUACCUCGUUCACUUCUCGUUGGAGGAAGCGGCGGCGCGCAUCCAUUGUGCACCAUCCUCCGCAUGCAUGCAUGCAUGCAUGCAUGCACGCGUGCACGAGCUUGGCUGCGCGAGCCGUACAACUUCUACGGGGAUAUAAUUUGAUCUACAUUGUUCGCCAAUCGCCCCCUGGCCAGACUGGUCACUCCAGUUAUUGCCAUAAUUGAUUCACUUAAUCGCGCUCGUGGGAGUGACGGACACCUCCUUCGGCCUCCCGUCUAUCAAUCUCGCACGUCCAUUUGAAACGAUUCGAAUCUCUCCUUCUUCGUUCCGUCUUCUUUCUCUCGUCUCGUAAUCGUACGCGUGAAAAUUAUCGUCCAAUUCUUUCUUUCUUUCUUUCUUCUCUCGCGAUUAAAUUAGAACCACGUUUUAGAAGAUCUUGAGAGGUUCCAAGACACGUUCUACUUAGAAACAGAAAUUCAAUUAAGAUAUGCGCGUAUCGUGACCAAGUAUUAACAGAUAUCGUUCGAUAAACGGUGAUUGUCGUAAUUUCGGAGAGUUUACGCUCGUAAAACGCGCUUAUCUUGGACUGUAUUCGAUUAUUAGCGUGCUUUGACUCCCAACGAAGCAGGAAGAAGCGUAACUCGUUUAUUACACGGAAAAAGGGUAUAAUAUUGGCGAUGUUCGCGGCGUCUUUGAGAGAGGAGCUGCGGCUGACCAGGAAGACCGUUCUUCUAUGAUACAAUGCGUAUCGGCCUAUCUCGUUCGCUUUGUAAAUUUGAUUUUUUUUGGAUUCAGGCGAAUUACCGUCGCAGCCGAACGGUAUAUCGAAUCGUUCGCUUCGAUCGGCCGUGAUUCCAGUAAAUUGUAUCCCGCGGAGAAGUCUGACUCGAUUGUUACGCGAACAGAGAUGUCUUACGCAUGCGGAAAUUUUUUUUUCGAGAAAGCUCAUCAGCCUACGAGGGGAACGGAUAUAAAUGCGAGAUAGGAUAGAAAUAUGAACCAUCAAGUAAAGAUUUUGACAAAUGAUUAUACAUUAUUGUUCAUAUACGAUUUGUAAUAUCAGUAAAAUGUUACUUAAACAUUUAUAUCGUAAUUAAAAUUUUUAUUAGUUUUUUAAGUUAUUAGCGAUGUUUUAUGUUCGAAAUAACUUUUUAAAGAAUUAUUUAUUUAAAUUAUUUAUUUGCUUGCUAGUGAUUGAAUGUAUUCGUUGGUUCUGAUUAGAUAUCAUUGCAUUGAACGUGAUGAUCUUUCGACCAAUUUUUUUUAUUGUUUCUUGUGAUAAUUUCUUAUAAAUAUUAAAUUUACACAAAUAUCUCUCAAACAACAAUUGAGUUUCAUAAACUUUUAAUUAUAUUACUGUAUUUGUCAUUUAUUCGAAAGAUAAUUUUUAUGAUACCUUUGUAUGCAUAUUGAUAAUUAGAAAAUGAUGAAAUAAAUUCUUCUUCUAAAUUUAAACUUAAACAUUUUUCACAGAACAAAGUAGUUUGGAUAUUUUUGAACACAAUUUAUGUGGUUAUAAAUUGUUCUAAUUGUGAUUAUUAUACUAUAUUUAUACAUUAUCUUUUAUUAUUCUUAUACAUUAAUAAAAUCUUUCUAUCAAUCAUA